rnacentral:lncRNA from 1 species
CAGCUAUUUUCCUGCUGAGAAUUCAUUCUUUCAUUUAUCUAUGCAUAUAUAUACAUACACACACACACACACACACAUAUAUAUAUUUUUAAUUUAUGAAUUUGCCCAGGCCAGGCACAGUGAUUCAUGCCUGUAAUCCCAGCAUAUUCGGAGGCUGAGGUAGGAGGAUUGCUUGAGGCCAGGAACUCAAGGAUAGCCUGGGCUACAGAGGGAGACCUCGUCUCUCCAAAUAAUAAUAAUAAAAAAAAUUAGCUGGGCAUGGUGGUGUGUGCCUGCAGUGUCAGCCCUCAAAAGGCUGAGCCUGGAAGAUUGCUUGAGUCCAGGAGGUCAAGGCUGCAGUAAGCUGUGAUCAUACCCGUGUAUUGCAGCCUGGGUGCCAGAGCUAGACCCUGUAUCUAAGAAAAUAUACAUAUAUAUACACAUAUAUAUACACACACACACAUGUACCUACUCUUACUUACAUUUCUUUGUGUAUCAUUGGCUUAUUUUGAGGUUUAAAACCAGAAUCAAAGAAAAUUGAUUGGAGGAUCACCUGACUGAAGCAAAAUUCAUCUCUCCCACCAAAGGAAGGAUUUGCCAGCCGGAGUUCGCAUCUGAAAAUCAGCAGUAAUAAUCCUGCUAAGCACAUCGAAACAGUCCGUGUGAUGCUCUGAAUAGAUUCUGACAAACUUAACUGGGGCAGGCAACUGGGGAAGGUCGUCGGUGACUCACACGCUAACGAUGGAAGGUGGCUGGUCCUUUCAGCUUCAUCCCUCCAUCCACGGCGUGUUCAAGAUCCCAGGAGCUCCAGCUCUCACGCCUCCCUUUCAGAACAAAAGGGUCCUGCCCAGGGAGAUACAGCGUCUAGGCCCCCACAACACAAAGCAGCUGAGCUGGGAACUCAGGAGGAAACACGCGUUGUGGGUGCCUGGAUGCUGGCCCUGUAACUAGGGGAAACAUCUUUUGCCACAUUGCAAUUUAAACUGGAAGACUUUAUAAUUACAAUAUUUUCUAAUUCCCCGGUUGAUAUAUGCUACCAAGAAUCAUGUCCAGUUGGGAAGGAGACCAACCUAGGAGGAGAUACUUGGAGAAUCAUUGGAUGAAUCGGCUGACAUCUUUAUCUCUUGUAAGAUAUUUUGUUCCUGUUAGUUCCUAUCACUACUUGGCUACUAAGUAUUGCUGUGUCGUUUCUUGUGGUUGAAAUGAAGUCAGAACAGUAGAGGUUCUACAGCUGGUUUUUAAAUCUCC